UAUUGCACUCGUCCCGGCCAGC
rnacentral:miRNA from 1 species